AGUUUGAUCAUGGCUCAGGACGAACGCUGGCGGCGUGCUUAACACAUGCAAGUCGAACGAUGAACCACUUCGGUGGGGAUUAGUGGCGAACGGGUGAGUAACACGUGGGCAAUCUGCCCUGCACUCUGGGACAAGCCCUGGAAACGGGGUCUAAUACCGGAUACUGACCCUCGCAGGCAUCUGCGAGGUUCGAAAGCUCCGGCGGUGCAGGAUGAGCCCGCGGCCUAUCAGCUUGUUGGUGAGGUAACGGCUCACCAAGGCGACGACGGGUAGCCGGCCUGAGAGGGCGACCGGCCACACUGGGACUGAGACACGGCCCAGACUCCUACGGGAGGCAGCAGUGGGGAAUAUUGCACAAUGGGCGAAAGCCUGAUGCAGCGACGCCGCGUGAGGGAUGACGGCCUUCGGGUUGUAAACCUCUUUCAGCAG
rnacentral:rRNA from 1 species